GUUUUUUUUUUAUUAUCUUUUCCAGGCAAUACCAAGCUCGCACCAGAGGUCUCAAUGCGUACGACCGGCGCUGGAAGUUGGUCGAUGAUUUACGUUACUUUCUAUGGCAAAGAAAGAUCAGCACUAGCAAAUUUGCCAGUUAAAACUGAUCAAGACACUUUACGAGAAGGCUACAGCAAGCAUCUCUGGCGGUUGGCCCACGUUCGCGAGAGAAACUUGUCUGCAUCAAGAUGUCUGCGCGUUUGAACUUUUUGGUAGGGGCGAUGUUGUGUUCAUAGUCUCCAUCUUCAGCAAUGCCGGUAGCGAUAAGAACCUCAUUUAGGUCGAUUGAGAUGAACCUUACAAGAGUCGCUUGAGGCUAUAUAUCAGUAAAUUCGUGUCUCCUUUAUCAGCUGCGAUGAGUCAAUUGAAAGUGCACUUACUUUUGGCUUUUCUUCUCUUUUCUGAAUUAGUUACAAUCUCAUCAGAAUUAUCCUUAUUACACAUAUAUUAUAUGAGGACUUGUUUUGUUCUGGAGCUGUCUAUUUGGAUCGAGAUUUGUCUUCUUAUCCUCGGUGAAAGCACCAAAGUUACAUUGGAUGAUGAUAUGCUACUGUGCCCUUGGUAUGCUUACAGGCGGCAAUAUAGGGAAGAGAUAUGCCAGAAUCGAUGAGCUUGGCGUGCCCCUUUCAAUCACUGUCCUUUCAAGUGCUGCUGAUGCUGAUGCCACCAUUCGAGAAAGGGACAGCAGAGAGGGAGUUCAGGUUAAUAUGGGUAUAGUGGCUUCCGUUGUGAAGGCUUUGAUUGACGGGUCGAGGACCUGGUCCGACGUAAGGUCAAGUUUCCCACAUCGUGAAUAGUUUAGUUGCUGAUAUCAUUGUUUACUUAACUUUACAUCAGUUAGGAUCAAACAUUUUUGUCACAAUUUUGGGGGACAUCCGAGGUAGCAAACAAAUGGUGUACUUUUGAUACGUCUUUUGCUGGCUAAACAUGCUGUUCAUGUCUUUUUCGUGUGGUAACCCGGAGAUAAAAACAAAUAGGAAGUUGCAGAUC